GGAGAAUUGCUUGAGCCUGGGAGGUGGAGGUUGCAGUGAGCUGAGAUCACGCCACUGCGCUCCAGCCUGGGCGACAGAGUGAUAUCUUGUCUC
rnacentral:miRNA from 1 species